UCCUACGGGAGGCAGCAGUGGGGAAUAUUGCACAAUGGGGGAAACCCUGAUGCAGCGACGCCGCGUGAAGGAAGAAGUAUUUCGGUAUGUAAACUUCUAUCAGCAGGGAAGAAAAUGACGG
rnacentral:rRNA from 1 species